rnacentral:rRNA from 1 species
UGACAGUACUCCUACGGGGAGGCAGCAGUGGGGGAAUAUUGCACAAUGGGCGCAAGCCUGAUGCAGCCAUGCCGCGUGUGUGAAGAAGGCCUUCGGGUUGUAAAGCACUUUCAGUCGUGAGGAAGGUAGUGUAGUUAUAGCUGCAUUAUUUGACGUUAGCGACAGAAGAAGCACCGGCUAACUCCGUGCCAGCAGCCGCGGUAAUACGGAGGGUGCGAGCGUUAAUCGGAAUUACUGGGCGUAAAGCGCAUGCAGGUGGUUUGUUAAGUCAGAUGUGAAAGACCCGGGGCUCAACCUCGGAAUAGCAUUUGAAACUGGCAGACUAGAGUACUGUAGAGGGGGGUAGGAAUUUCAGGUGUAGCGGUGAAAUGCGUAGAGAUCUGAAGGAAUACCGGUGGCGAAGGCGGCCCCCUGGACAGAUACUGACACUCAGAUGCGAAAGCGUGGGGAGCAAACAGGAUUAGAUACCCUGGUAG